ensembl:lncRNA
UCUUUACCUGUGCAUUGGGAGUGACAAGGCUUGUUUCCUUCCCUGAGAAGUUGAAGAUGUUCAUUAUGUGAGAUGAGACAGCCAGGCAAGGAACAAGGCUUCAAACCCUUUUUUAUAGUGGCAGCUGUUUACUUCCCAACAUCUGGACCACUAAGGAGGGGUUCUUUCUGUCUUACUCUGCCCCUAAACUUUCUGGUGUGCACCCAGUAGAAGUCUGUGGAAAAGAUCCUGUGAGUUAGUGCAAACUCUCCUCAUGUCUGGGCCUUCUGUGGAUUCAAUACUGUCGUAUUAUCCCACUGUUGACUUUUAGAAAUUCUUUAAGAUCUUAGCUGGUUUCUUCUUACCCACUUAUGUAGCAUUACCUACUUCCACCCAUGCUCUUUCGUAGGUCAGCCAGUUCGUGCAUCUUAACUCUUUUGGGGGAGCCUAUCUCUCCUUGAAUCAUGGGCUACUUGAUUGCCCUGUGACCCAGCUCUCUGAUGGGUUCAAGAAAUGCUGUGAUACUAUAUUUUUUUUCUGGAUUUUUCUCAUCAUUACAAUGGAACAAUACUCUUUGAGCUUUAUACCUCCUAGGUGGAAGUAGAACUCCAAGGAAGAUUUUUAAAACUUGAAAUGUUCUCAUCAGAAAUGUGUUUUUGAAAGAAUAGUGCAAAGUUACAAUUAAUUAUAUAACUAUGUGGAAGGAAUUUUUUUCAAUCUAUGACAGAAUUACAAGAUAACAAAAAAAUCCCAAAGCCUUCUUGGAUAAAGCUGAAACCUCUUGAGUAUCUUUUGCCAAAAAUUGAAUGAGAGCAGGAGCUGCUAUAUUUGGAAGCAAGGGCUUGAAUGAACCUCUCUCAUCCUUGCAGACAGAGACAACAUUGCCCCUUUGGUUGAAACUGGGGAACAUCAACUCUUGUCUCCUGUCACCUGGCUGAACCAAGUUUACUCUGGGAAGCCUCUACUCCAGACAAAGGAUGUAGUUUCGCCUAAUAAUACUGUUCUUGGAAAGAGGACUAGUUCUUUUUAUGGAACCUGAGCUUCUAUGGCUGACUUUGUCCCUUCAAGUGCGUGGCUGACUCUGGCUGAAAUAAGAGACUUCAGUCCAUAUUCAUCAUCGAGCAACUGCUCUUCUGAAACACUUCCUGAGAAUCAAUGUCCCCUGGAAACACAUGACUUCCUGUUGGUCAGGUUUCAGCCAUCACUCCCACAAGAAACCAAGAAGCACUCCCUCCAAACUUCACAGCCUGCAGUGUCUUUUGCCAUUAGAACGGGGAUUAACGUGGCUAUUCUGGAGUUUGCCAGUCCCAAAGGCGCCUACAGCACAACUCACAAGAAGAAAUAACUGCCCCAAACUAGAGGAAGAAAGUGUUAAAGGGAAACCCAUCUGCCUAACUCCGAACAGAGCUUCUCUUCCCAAACCAGCAGGAUGCGGCGGAAGUGACGACAUCUACCUAUGCCCCGGGACCUCAAGAGGCCACCCAACUUACGUUCUCGUGCUCCUGGGAGCCAGCCACCAAGUUGGAAGCUUGGGCUGGACUCCAGGGUGGUGAGAGAUCGCGGGGUAGGAGGGAGGCCUCAUGGAUGAGAGCUGAGCCACCCUGCAGCCACCACGUGAGUCCUGCAGCCCAGGGUCACAGGCUGUGGCUUUUAACCCCGAGUUCCGGUGGUUUGUCGCAAGGCAAUAGAUCAUUAAAGCAACAGUGACAGUAACCUGUUGAUGUGGAGUCAAAAGAGGUUGCCAUUCAUUCUCCCGGCGUCGUCAGCGGCCGUGGUGUCUGUUGUGAUAAACGCCUUGUGAGAGAUACUAUCACCAAGCUUCCAGCCCCGGAAGCUGGUUCACCUGAGCAACAGCCGACACUCAGGGGCUGCUUAGUCCAUGCCAGGUGCUGUCCUUAGUCCUUUACACCCAUGAACUCAUUCAGGCCUCACAACAACCUCCUGAGCCAGAUGUGCUGUUAUUAUCACCUCCAUUUUACCACUGGGAAAACUGAGGCUCGGAGAGGUUAAGGAACCUGUCUGCAGUCACACAGCUAGUAAGCGGCAUAUCGAGGAGUCAUCUGCAGGCCCGGCAGCACCAGGCUGGGCUUUUAGCCUCCAUGUGGCUCUCUGCCUAAGGCCAGAGUUCAGGAAGGAGCCCCGGCUGUGUCACUUAAAACGGUUAUAGUUCCGUUGGGGGAGGAUUCAGCUGAUGAAGACACAUUUGAGAACCCCCAGUGUAGACAGUCGCCAAAGGUCUGGGAUUCUGCAAUUUGAUUGGCUGCCCCUCCAGCACCAUGGCCUGUGCUCACCUGGCUGCUGGGCACGUGGCCUCCCUUCUCCAACCCGCUUCUCCCCAUCCAGUGUCCCUCUGGCCAUUUCUAAAAGCUGUGGGCCCCC